CUAGCCGUAAACGAUGGAUACUAGGCGUUGUGAGUAUCGACCCUCACAGUGUCGUAGCUAACGCGUUAAGUAUCCCGCCUGGGGAGUACGCGCGCAAGCGUGAAACUCAAAGGAAUUGACGGGGGCCCGCACAAGCGGUGGAGUAUGUGGUUUAAUUCGAUGCAACGCGAAGAACCUUACCAGGACUUGACAUGUCGCGAAUCUCAAGGAAACUUGAGAGUGCCUUCGGGAGCGCGAACACGGGUGGUGC
rnacentral:rRNA from 1 species